rnacentral:rRNA from 1 species
CCUACGGGAGGCAGCAGUGGGGAAUAUUGCACAAUGGGCGAAAGCCUGAUGCAGCAACGCCGCGUGAAGGAAGAAGGCCUUCGGGUCGUAAACUUCUGUCCUUGGGGAAGAAGAACUGACGGUACCCCUUGAAUAAGCCACGGCUAACUACGUGCCAGCAGCCGCGGUAAUACGUAGGUGGCAAGCGUUGUCCGGAUUUACUGGGUGUAAAGGGCGUGCAGCCGGAGAGACAAGUCAGAUGUGAAAUCCACGGGCUCAACCCGUGAACUGCAUUUGAAACUGUUUCCCUUGAGUGUCGGAGAGGUAAUCGGAAUUCCUUGUGUAGCGGUGAAAUGCGUAGAUAUAAGGAAGAACACCAGUGGCGAAGGCGGAUUACUGGACGAUAACUGACGGUGAGGCGCGAAAGCGUGGGGAGCAAACAGGAUUAGAUACCCCUGUAGUC